UGCCUUUCAGAUACAGAGAACAUAAGCAGGCAUGCAGAAGAAGUGGAAGGGAAGAUGCAGACCAAUAGAGGAAAGAAGGAAAAACAAGCUAAAUAUUCCUGCAGUUGAGCUUCUUAUUGAAACAGAGUAGAACAAAAUAAGGUUGAUAACAUCAUGACUGGGUGCUUGUGGAAUCGUCUUCUGGAUGCCAGAACCUGUUGAAAAACCAUAAGGAAUCAGCUUUCACGGCAUAUCCAUCUUGGUUGCGGUGCCAACUAUAGUGAGCAUGGGUUCGGUUCUUGAUGUCAAAAAUGGCAUGUCCAAAACUGGCUUCACGAUAAGCAGAGUACUUCGGCUGUGGCUCUGUCAUGCUGAAUUGUAGAACAUAAUUCAGCUCCAGUGUCGUUUCAAAUAGGAGGACAUUUACAACAUAGAAGACAGAAUUAUACAAGAUAUGUGCUAAUCUUACUUGGUUGCCAGGCCUUCGAGAUUUCCCCCAUCUCCAAUGGUGAUGUAUACUGGUGCAGACUGGUCAUUUACAGGAGUGCAAAUGCCGUUUAUGACGUUAUAAGCAAUGUUGGACACACGUUCCUGUGAUAAAUUAAGUUACUAGCAUUAGCUGUCGGGUUGGAAGAGAAGGCAAAAAACAGAGAAUUCUUGAAAUAAUGCUCUUUUUGGUAGUUUUCUUCAGUGAAAUAAUAUUUCAUUUUUUAUAAUUCCAGGGUCAGAAAAACAAUUAUAAACAUUCUAACAAUUUUCGGGCAUUCUUUGAUUUCAUUCAGAAAAAAAUUAAAGGCCAAAUAAAAAGCAACGCUUAAGAUCUUAUACCUACAAAAAGGGGUUUCAGGAAAACAGCAAAAACUCCUACUUCGGAGCCUUACUGUGCAGAGGAUAAAGUGAACUUACAGAUCGUUCGUAGGCAUGAACAUGACCAGCAAACACAACAUCAACUUUGUACUGCACAAACCAUGGCUCGUACAUUACUCUCAUGGUUUCCCCUUCCAUAUAAUGAUAGUUGUAACUGUUAUACCAUGGGGAAUGCAUAAGAACAAUUAGCCAUGGUGUCUCACUCCUGUUAACUUUUGGUAGCUCCUUUUCAAGCCACUUAUACUGAGGAGUAUAUUUUCCUGAAAAGCAUAAGACAUAUAAAAACAUUCAAUUUUUUUACCAAUUUAAGCAUUUGGAGGACAAGCUGAAAUGAGCUCGUUCCUUCCUGCAUAUAAUAGUGUUUGAAUUGACUUAGAAUGUAAGCAUUAUCAAAUAAAAGUUCAAGUAACAGGAUAGAGUUGGAUCAUGACUAAAAUGACAAAACAUGAUCCUACAGAGGAUGGAAACUAUUCACGUCAAAUGCAGUACAAGUUCAGAAUUUUACUAAUUCAAUAUAUCAUAGAAAAAUCUAGAGGGUGAUGGAACCAUCCCAGCUGCCAUCUAAAUCCAUCUGAUAUUCCCCCUACUCCAGGGUUGACUUUCUUUUCACAGUAAGGAAAAGCACAAUUAUCCAAAUCCCCAUCCUCUGAUAUGGAUUACAAAUGCUUCAUACUUUUUAUAUUUGUAUGUGGUAAUUCGUAAUUGACAUUCUGCUGCAUAUGGGCACAUAUGUUUAGUGCACCACAGUAUGCGUAUGCUUACCAUAUGCUGAGUAUGAUGCCAAGACAAUGAUAUAUGCAGAAGCCCUCUUGAUAGAGUACCAGAAGGGAGCGGUACUAUCUGAUGCUCUGUAGGGAACAUGAUAUCGAUGACUAUAAGGCUUAAAGGGUAUAAACUCACCCUGCAAAAAACACCAGACUUCCAUUAUAAUUUCACUUUGUAUGGUAAUAUUGGGAGGUCUAGAAAUGGGUUAAGAUCUUUUUCUUUCUCACACUCUUCCUAUGGAAAUCUGAUCAUUCUUAUGAUUAGGAGUUGAUAUAUUGAUCUCACCAGCCAAAAGAAGUAUCAAUAUAGAAUUAUACCUGGAAAAUAUAUCAGAGAAAAGAAUUUUAUCAAAUUUGAAAACUAAGAUUACUGUUCUAUAAGGAAAAUAAAGCCACCGGUUACUGUACUAUAGUAGUAUCUCCUAGCUCCUCAUAAGGGAAGGUCCAGAAUUCUACCUCAUGCGAGGGCCUAGCCUAUGGGCUAAAGCCCCCUUGUACGGCAAAUAAUAGAAGGAAAAAUGGGCUAUCUUGUGCCAAAAACAAACAAGGAAAACGAUAUGAUUGUAGAACCAUAGCAGAAAAGCUAUAGUGCCUUUGGAAGAAUAAAAGGAUUGGUCAAAAGUUGUAAUUGAAAAAUUUUCAGCUAAGCAGAUUGAUGGAACAAAUUACCAUGUCAAAACAUUAUAUCAAUAAAAAAAGCAUAAAGAUACUGCUUUCCAUCAUUGAAAAUAUGUUAGAAAUGCUUACAAUUUCAGGAACAAAAUCAAUCUCAUGGUUUCCUGCAGUCCAUAUCCAAGGUUGAUAAGCAGUACUUCUCUCAGUGAACCUUCCCCAUGUAUCCCACCUAACGUUAUCAUGGUUCGGGUAGUUAUCAGCAUAUGAAAGGUCUCCAACAAACAACACGGUUUUUCCCUUUGCAGGGUUCAAUUCAUAGUGCGUAAGUGUCAUAUUUGAAUCAUAACUCUGCCCAAGAUCCCCUGCAAGCAAUGCUCAGUAGAGUGAAUCGACCCAAAGGAAUCAAAAAACAAUGCUAAACAAACAUUUAUGAAAACAUAUGGACACACUAAAUACAUAAUGCAUGUGAGCAUCUUCCAGAAUACAUGUGUGCCUUAAUGAUGCACUGGUAGUAAGUUAAACAAUAAAUUUCAUCAAAUCUAAGAUCUAUUUGGAAUCAACUUAUCUAGAUAACUUUUCAGUAAACUAACUUCCAGUAACAAUUCCUAGCAACCCAACCAGCAUCCCCACAAAAUCACUACUACGCUAGGUGAAAAAGCCCGUGGCACUGGAACCUACAGCCUCCCUAAUAGUAAGGAAACGCAAGGUGGCCUGAUCCACAACUCCAACAGCUAAACCAAAUCUGAAUAAUUAACUGUUAUUAACCUUCAAACAAUCUCAAUUACACAGGUUUGAUAUUGAACGGUUACCUAUAAGACCAAAAGUGUAUGGAACAUCUGGGCCAACUUUAGGAGGAGUUACAAACCAAAACUUGCGUGGAGUGUGUCCAAUCCCGACCACAUAGUAAUACUUGGUGUUGAACUGCAAAUAAAUUAGAAAAGCUUCAAGCUCUGUAUCCAGAAGAAAUCCCAAAACAAAGAAAUGAUGAAUGAAUUGGGUGACAUCCCACCUCCAAAUUCUUGAUAGUGCAAUGAUGAAUGUAACCAGAAGUGUAAUUGUAGAAUUUAUAGGUAACCAUGAUUCCCUCAGCUCUGUUCUUGCGCUUGGAGUUUUCACUCCAGUAGAGCACUGUGUUUGAGCCUGGUUCAUCCACAGUGACCCAUGAGACAAUCACUCCUCUCCCCUCAUGAUCUCCUUGUGUUAUAUGAACCUUAACACGGACCACCCACAAGUCAAACAAGAACAACAAUAAAAAUUGAGAUCAAACCCACUAAAUCUGCUCCAAAAUAAAACCAAAAUUAUGAAGUAAUUUAAAAUAAAUAAAAUAUAAAACCCCUUUUUUUUAAAUGGGUUUUGAAAUUCUUAAACCCCACCUAAACGAAAAAGUAUAUGAAUCUAAAUCAAUUAACAAAUCCCAGUGAAAAGCAAAGCAAAUGGAGGAAGAAAAAGCCACACACCUGCUGAGGGGCAUUAUAACCAAGAGGCACACGAAAGACAUCACUGUCAAGAGGCAUAUCAAUGGUUUUUUCAACCUUCCUCACAAAACUACUCGUGAUUCCUCCAUGACACACCACUGCUGCAUUCAACACCGAACCCAAAACAAUAACCACAGUAGCAACUGCAGAAGAAAAAGAUAGCCCCAUCACCCCCAUCUUAUCCCACACCUCCACAAACCACUCAACCUACGCUCUCAACCCGAUCUUCUUCAUCCACCUCUCUCACCGAUCCCCAUUUAUAGCAUUUUCUGAGAAAAACCCGGGGAAUAUUCAGAAAUGUAAUGCGGAUAUGCAUCGUGAAGUCAACGGACUGAGGAAGCCUAGGGAAGCCACGUUCAACGAUGAGGGAAACCCAGAAAUUCCCUUUUGGAAAAUAAUAAUAAAAAAAUUCGGAGUUGACUCGGAGGUUGACAUUUAGUUUAAUUUUUGGUUUGAGCUGAAAAGCUGGAAUUUUUAACAGGGAUAAUUGGAAGACGAGUGGGAAUACCCAGUUCUACUUUUGGUUAAAAUACGAUGAAACUACACUUUCCACUGAGAUUCAUGAUCUCAGAGAUUUGAUUACGGUACCGUUAGAAUCAAUAUCCUGUGAUCUUUCCCUUCGUUAUACUAGUGAUGAACUAGACACUGAUCAAUAGAGAUUGUUACAACUAUUUUUCCGGGAAAAAUAUCGAUAAGUAUCGCCCAGCCAACCCUAAUGAAAAUUCCUUUGAUAAAAUAAAAACCUUGUUUGGAAGAGCUUUUCAAUCCAUAAAAGUUGUAAUUUAUAAAUUAGAAGUGUCUUUAUAAGAGUAGUUACAUAAAAUUUCGGAAAAAUUAUGUUUUGGAUUUAAUUGAACCCAAAAAUUAAAAUUUGGUCUACAUAAAUUCACUAUUUAAGUCUAAAAUGUAAAGGAAAUAUAAAAAUUGAGAAAAAUGAUAUGAAAUUUUUAUCUUUCCAAACCUUUAUUAACUAUAUAUAUAAAAAAAAAAUAGAAAAACAUUAAUUUAAAUUUUAUUUCUUUUGCAAACCUCAAUAAAAUUUAAUAUAAUUUAGUGAUUUAAAAAAAAUACACCAUUUUCCAAAAAAAUAAAAAUAAAUUAUUAUUAUUUAAAAAUCAAACAUCUUGGAAAAUAUAUAUUUUUAAAAUUGUGUAUAUAAAAAAUAACUAAAAAUAUGUCAAAAUUAUUUUUUUUAAAUGAUGUAUUUUUAAAGUAUAUUUUUUAAAAAAUUAGUUUUCUAAAAAUAAUAAAUUUUUAGAAUAAUUAUUUAAAAAAAUUUAAGAUAAAAAUGUUUCUCAAACAUUAUGGUAGAAAAUAUUUUUGAAUGGUAUAUUGGUCUCUUCAUAUUUUAUAUCCUCUUUAUGAAUUAUGUAAUUUUUAUUGAUCAAAUCUUAAUUUUUGAGCUCAAUUGAGUUCAAAAGACAAAUUGUCUCUAAAAUUUUUAUAUCUCACUGAAAAUAAAAAAAUUCAUUUUUUUUUUAAGUAGAAGAAAUGGAAUUUUAUUUAAUUAAUUUUUUUUAAAUAUCACAUUUAUCCAUAUAUUUUAUAUGAAAUUUAUCUUAAAAUAAUUUUUCGUCAAAUUAUUUGAGCGUAUUCUAUAUUUUAUAGUUAAAAUUUUAAAAAUAAAUAACAAAUAUAUUUAUUUAUGGUAAAACCAAACCGUUUGUAUGGAAUUUGGUUAAAAUGUGUUACUUUAUUUUAUUUUAUUCUUUAUCAAACAAAUUAUAUAUAAUUCAUUGAUAUAAUAUUAUUUUUUUUUAUAAAGAGAUGGGCGAAACAAAUAAAAUAGUGUGAAAGUUAGAAGAUACGAAAAGGCAAAGUGGUUUGGUCCAUCCCGUUCCACUUGCGGGGAGAUACGAAAAGUGGAAAGGUCCAAAACAAAAAAAUGAAGACUAGAUUUCAAUCAUGCAUGUCUUUUUCAAUCAUUCAACCUUUUUCCUUGAAAUGCCAACCACUUUCCAAGGAAUGAAAAGGGCAAAUUACAUUGUUUUACCAAAAUUAACUUUAUUUUUUAAAAUAAAAAUAAUUAUAAUUUCUAUCCCAUACUGGUUCCCUGAAUUAGGUCGGUUUGAUCAUUAAUAUCAAGUCUAAUUCAAAUUAAAAAAUCAACUCAUUGCAGUGGGUCGAUGUUUAAUAUAAGUCCAAUUUAAUUCAAUAUUAAUUUCGAGGUAUCCAAUCUAAGAGCAACUCAAUUUUAUUUUUUUAAACUUCGUUGAAUUUUGAUUAAUUAGAUUUGACUCAAAUUGUAUGAUUCAAAAUUCUCUUAUAAUAUUUUUUUAAAUAUAUUUAUAUCAAAAUUUAAAUAAUAAAUAAGUUAAUACUUUAGGAUAAUAAUAAAAAAAUUAUUUAACUUUCUAAUAUAUUAAAAAAAAAAAUAUAAUUAUAAUUUAAUAUUGAAAAAAAAAUGAAAUAAGUAUUAUUAUACAUGAUGAUAUAAAUUAUAAAUAAUAUUAAAAAAAAAUGCUAAAUUGGGUUCAUGUCCUCCCAACCUUUGUCCAAUCCCAAUCCUAAUUAAGUUUAGAUUGAAAAUUUAUCCCUAGCAACCCAACCAGCAUCCCCACAAAAUAACUACUACGCUAGGUGAAAAAGCCUGUGGCACGGGAACCUACAACCUCCCUAAUAGUAAGGAAACGCAAGGUGCCCUGAUCCACAACUCCAACAGCUAAAUCAAAUCUGAAUAAUUAACUGUUAUUAACCUUCAAACAAUCUCAAUUACACAGGUUUGAUGUUGAACGGUUACCUAUAAGACCAAAAGUGUAUGGAACAUCUGGGCCAACUUUAGGAGGAGUUACAAACCAAAACUUGCGUGGAGUGUGUCCAAUCCCAACCUCAUGGAUCUUUUGUAUUUGAAGAUUAAGACUACUUGCUUAAUUCAUGGAUCUUUUGUAUUUGAAUCCAUAAUUUGAUCUUGUUUCUUUAUUUUUACCUUCCAUUCGAGGAUUUAUUCGAUCUUUGUUUCAUAUUGAUCGGUGUUCGUUGUUUUUUCUUAUAAUUUCAACUUUUAAAAUUGGGCUAGAAAGACACAUUCUAAUUUAGAUUAUUUGAUUAAAAAUGAUGAAAUAAUCUUCUAUUUAUUAAUCUAACCCUUCACUUUUUUUUAACAUAAAAUAAUAUAUAUUUAAUAAAAAUAUUAUCAUUUCUUUAUUAUAAAAAUAACCCAUUUUUUUUGUUUAGUUACAAAUAAUUAAAAUGUUGAAGGUUACUCUUUAAAUUCAAUGAUGAGAAAGAUUAGAUUUAGAAAUUUGGAUCUUCCUUAGAAUCAAUUAAUUAUUCUUAUUUAUUAUUUAACACACAAAAGCCUAAUCCUAACCUAGAAAGAAAGAUGGUAGAUGUGUUGUAUAUCUUCUGCUAUUGUCAUGUCUUCAUCAUGAAUAUGGACGUAAUGUUGUGCGAUGAGGAUUAUAAAGGAGGAACAUCACCAAAACCGUCACUGUUGAAGCGAAUUCUCGAUUUUGUGGAGAGUGGAUUGCCAUUAGGGAUGGAUUUAUUAAAGUGUAGAAAUUUUCUCUACAUGUUCGAUGGUGUGUACCCAAGUGACCACCCUUAUUAUUACAUAUACUCCAGAGAAGUGUCACAAACUUACACUUUUCCUAAGCUCAUGAACGACACUUAGACAAGCCAAGAUACUUGAUGUUGCUAAGUCAACCUUACCCACUUAACUAACUAAAUGUAGACCCCUCAUUUUGCCCUUGACACAUAUAAGUUACUAUCCAAGUAAGUUAUCGUAAUUUAUCGACUUGUAGUCUUCAAUUCUUCAUCAGGAGCUUAUUGGAGGAUAAAUGAUAGAAUUUGAUGUGAUUACAUGAACUUAUAAUUUUGUAGUUUAGGAUUCUUUGAUUGUUUAAAGUUAUUAUCAACCGUAAAUUGAAGCGAAACUUAGAAUUCUUUAAAAUAUUAAAUCCAUGUCUUAAAAUAUGAGAUGAAAUAAGUUGUUCCUUUUAAGUAAUGAACACACCAAAAUAAUUAAUAUUUCUAGUAUAUCAUGAAUCAUAAAUAAAGUUUAUAUGUUAUUAAAAGUCACACUUCAAAACACAAAAUAAAUUAAUUUUCCAAAUAAAAAACAAAUAUGCAACGUGUAUGUUUUUAUAAAAUAUUUAUACUUAGCUUUCAUAUAAUUUAAAACAUGCCAAACACACCUUAAUCUAACCCAUGUAUCAACUCUCCAUAAGUUGUUAGCCUAGUUUCCCCAUUCUUCUCACCCAUUAACCAUUCUCCCUUACUACAACUCAUAUCCCAGUUGUCCAAAACAUGCUUUAACCCAUGCAACUAGCCAUGCCAAAGACACCUUGCACUAGUCGUCCAUUAUCCUCAUAUAUAAGUUUAGUUUUUUAUUCCUUUUUGAAUUCAUUACUAGUAUUUAUGAAUUAAUCUCAUUUCUAUGAGAGUGCUUUAAGACGCUAAACCAGGUACGCAAACCUUUUCUUCACCAUUUAUUUAAAUUAAUGCUUGUAAUUGCAUAUUGUCUAUUAGUGUUUGCUUGUUGUGUUGAGAUUGUAUGACAUUAAAUUUGACUUGUUAUGGAAUAUGUGAUUGCUUAGAAUGUAAUGUAAUGUAAUGUUAUUGCUUGUUAUUUAACUUUUGUAUUUUCUAGAAGCGCUAGGAAUGCAAAUCAGAUAGACCUUUCUUUAUUAAUUAAAUUGAUGAAUUGUGUUGAUGUGUUUAUUUAGUUCAUAGUAUCCAUGAAUUAAGUAGUUAGUCCUCACAAUUAUCUCAACUUACUUAGUAAAAACCUAGUUUUUAGGAGUUAAAGGGGUGAUACGAUUUUUCACUAUACCUUCCAGAUAAGUAACCUGACCCACAAACCCAAAUUGGUUUUCACAGACCUGUCUUUUCUUUCAGGAGUUACAUUUAAAGUUUUUCUUUCUUAUUUUGUUUUCUCUUUUAAAAAAUAAAACGAAAGUAAGUGACGAUCUAUGAUUUAAAAAAAAAUAGUUUUUCACAAACAAAAAACGAGUUUUUCCAUCGAGUAAAAACACAUGUGAAAAUGUGGGAUCACAUUAAGCUAAACAUGCACAUGACUUGGAAGCCUAGAAGGCACACGUAGGCAACACUUCAAGGAAAGGAAACUUUAUUGCUCAAAAAAUGCAUAUAAUGCUUUGGAAACUUACUUGCUUAGUGUCUUGGCCAAAUGAGACCCUCACUUUGUUAUAGGCACCUUAGGAACUCUUUGGAACCCACAAAGGUUCCCCACUCUCCUAAAAUUUUAUUCUCUAUACAAAGGAUAUUUACAAGUAUUUCCAAGAGACCUCUGGAACUCUCUAAAUAGCUUCAUAUUCUUUCCUUAUCUUCCAUCUUAAUGUAGAGAUGUGUGGAUAUCUCUAGAUUUCUCCACAAUGUUCCAACUUAGGCAUACUAGGCAUAGGGUCGACUUGGAAGGCAUUUAGCAGUUGCAUCAAGCCCACAUGUGCCUCAACCUCUUGUUUUCUUUCAUCGACCAUGACAUUGAGCGUCUUCUUUUUUGGACAAUCUCAUGCCUAAUGUGGACUAUCAUAUAAUUAACACUGGGUCUUGGGUAUAAACUCAUUUCUGCCUUACCUUUUCCUUCUCGAACGUUAGGUGUCUUACUUGAUCCCAUUCUAAAAGCACCAUGGUCUCUCGAAACCUUGUCUCCCCCACCAUUAGCGUAGCUAUCCUCGUCUUGACUCAUCUUGGAGGAGUUUUUCUUCUUAUAAUUCGUCAAAGAUUCCUCUAUUGCCAUGGCAGUGGCUAAGUCUUGAACACUUAGGCAUCUUAGUUCCUGCUUGGUCAACCCUUGCAGUUUAUCUAUAAAGUUAAAUAGUAACUUUUCCUCAGUCAUGUUUGGAAUAUCUAGCAUGAGCGAAGCAAACCCUUUAACAUAGUCGCGAAUUGAGCUCGUGUGUUUGAGACUCCUCAUGUUCUUCUUAAUUAGAUAAGCCACGUCCUUGGGGGUAGAACGACCUCUUGAUCUCUUUCUUAAAGUCCUCCCUUAUCUCUAUGGUGCAAAUGUCUUUCUCUAUAGCGGCAAACAUCCGGCGCCACCAUAGAGUAGUCGUGUCAAUAAGGUAGAGAGUUGUAGUCCUCACCUUAGCCGCCUCAUCCAUUGGCCUAUAGCCUCAAAAUACCGCUCCAUGUGCCACAAAAAGUUAUCUAACUCCUUAACAUUUCUCUUGCCACUGAACAUGUAUGGUUUUGGCACCUCCACCCUUGGUUUCUUAAAGACAAUUCAUCGGGUGAAAUAAACAAGAAAGACGUGGUCAUGUAAGUUCUUAACUAACUUUAAAUUUUAUAAAAUCAUUCUAUGUUCGACCAAUAACAAACUCGGAUAUGCGGCCUUACUAAUAGAAAGAGCGGAGGUACCUUUUUUUGUGUCAAGUCCAAGAGGAUUGACCAUGCUCGAAGCUCCCAAGCUAAUUCCCCUUCUAAAGAUUAUUAUUAUUCCUAAUCAAAGAUAAAGUUGGAUAAAAAAAUCAUGAAUUAUUUUCAUUUUCAUCAUUUAUUGGUUACAUUUUUGCUACAACAAUUUUAUUUUUAGUAUUUAUAAUAAUUUUCAAAUAAUAAGAUAACCAUGCCCACCUUUUUUUUUCAACAUAAUUAUUUGAUCAAAAGUCUUGAUAAAAAAAAUUUAUAAUAACAUAAAUAGUGUAGCCUCUUUUGAAAGUUGUGUAUUAAAAAUAUGACAUUUAUUAAUUUUUUUUUUUAAUAAAUGUCAUUUUCAACUUAUGACUUUUAUUUUAGUAGUGUUUUUCUAACACUUGCGACUUCCAUUUUCAAAACAUUUGAUACUUAUCAUAACUUUGAAUCAUUUUCUUUAUGUCUAUUUUUGUAAUUUUUUUAUGUUAAUUUCUUUUUACAUUAUUGAUCGAAAACCUUAAUAAAUGAUUCAAAUUGAUGGAAAAAUUGAGUUAAAAUGAAGUAGACCCAACAAUAAUUCUUCAAUAUGACUUAAUUUUGGAAGCGUGCUUGAAAGACAUGGCUUUCUUUUCACUUGCACACUCAACGUUGACUUUUAAAAAACAUGUAUGCUACAUAAUUUUAUGUGAGUAAAGCCUAAUUAGCUACCAAUCUAAAUUAAAAUUAAUAAGUUAAUUGUUUCUUGAUAUGUAUUUGUUGAUAUUUAUAGUAAAUUUGAUUAUCUAAAUUGCAAAUUAGAUUAUUGCAAUACAAACUAUAACUCAACCAACACUUAUUAUAAAUAAGAAUUUAAUCAUUUCAUCUAAAAACCAAUUGAUUUUUAAUAAUGUCAAGCUCACUCUCUUUUAAUUAUUCGAGUCACACCAAAUUCCAAGCUAACAGUCUUGUACAUACUUCCUAAGCUAGUACCAAAUCUGAAGCACAUGUAAUCUUGGGUUUACUAUUUAAACAAUGUUAUAUCUUGAGCUAAUGUAAUAUUAGGUAAAUUUCUUGAGUCAACAUCAAAUCCUGAACGAGGACAAUCUUGAAUUAUACUUCUCGAAUCAUUAUUAUUAUUUAUUUCAAUACCAUUUAUUGUACAUAAUGAUUUCUUUUAUGUCAAUUAGUUUUCAUUGAAACCAAGCUAAUUACAGACGGGAAACAAUUGAAAUUCACAAAAAAAUUGGAAGUAAUUCCUUUGUGUUGUUAGUAGAAUUUGAAUCCUUUAUUUAAGAUUUAAUAUAUGAAAUUAAGAAUGGUCCACAAACUUCUAACUACUUUUUACAACAAAUUUUAAACUUAGAUAAGUAAAUUUUUUUUGAGAAUAUAUUUUGCUUAUUUUAAAAUAAAUUUAAAAUAUUUUGAAUAAUAAUUUAAAAUAUAAAGAUAUUUUAAAUAAUUUAUAUUUCACAUAAAUAUAUAAUACCUUUAUAUUAAACAAAUUUUAAAAAAGAAUUGUUUUUCGUAUUUAAGUUUUAAAUUGUUUUUGGAGUAAGAAUGAACUGAUUUUUGUGUUUGGUAGAGGUUGUAGUGUGCUCCCAGUUCUAAUUUACUUAAAAUGCAAUUCAAUCUGUAUCCAUGAUCCGAUAUAUUUGAUUGGUUAAGAUUCAAAUGUUUGAGGAUCUAAUGGUGUGGAUUGUGCGGAUGCAAGGAAGUACGGUGGGAGGAGGAGGAGUACCACAUAGAGACCGUAGAAUAUGGGGUUACGGGACUGACCUCCAAAGCAAAUGUCCCUAUCAUCCAUCCCUCAAUAUUUUUGGCACUGUAAAAGCUGACUUCGACUCUCUCCUGCAUCGCGUGGCAAACACACGUUGUUUUUAGAAAACAAAUCAUGGGUGGGGUUUAUUUUGAAGUUUUUGAUUAAAUAAAAAUAAUAAUUAUGUGAGUUAUAACUUUAUUGAUGUAUUUCUUAUAUAAUUUUUUUUUUGUUUUUUCCAUAAAAAAAAAAUGGAGAAAAAGUUAUCCGAACUCGCAUUCAUAAUUAUAAUACAAAAACAAAAGUUCGUAACUUUUUCUUUUACUUUAAAAAAAAAAAAAUUGAGAAAAGAGAGUAUCCAUGUUCUUAUGUAAGAGUUAUACAUCUUAUAUACAAAUUACUGAUAUUUUCUUUAUUUUUAAAAACAAAAAAUAUAAAAUAUAUUUACAUAUGUUUAAUUAUUAAAAUAAAGAUAAAAUAAUUCAUUGAAGAGGGAUGAAUAGGGUGUUGAUCAUUUUAAAAAAAAUUUAUAAAAUUUAAUUGAUAUGAAAGAUGGUGUUUAAAAUCAAUAUUUUUUAUUUUUAAAAACAAAAAAUAUAAAAUAUAUUUACAUAUGCUUAAUUAUUAAAAUAAAGAUAAAAUAAUUCAUUGAAGAGGGAUGAAUAGGGUGUUGAUCAUUUUAAAAAAAUUUUAUAAAAUUUAAUUGAUAUGAAAGAUGGUGUUUAAAAUCAAUGAUUGUUUAGUGUAUUUGUAUUUGUAUUUGGGAGUCCAUAGAAGAAUUAUCAUCUCGCGAGGAGAAGGCUAUGGAAUGGAGCUUUGACGUGCGAUAUGAAGAUGUUUACUUUGGAUGGUGUAGAGAAGUUGCAUGGGAUAGAUCCGAUGAUAAUUUGUGGGCUAUGAUCGAUGGGCCUGAGGACCGCUACUCCGUAGCGGUUGACUCUCUCAAAACUCGACCGCAUCUUCCAGGCUGUAUUCGAGAGGAUGAUGCAACUAGUGAGCAGAGGGACCAUAUGUGUGGAUUGAUGCCGUAUCUAAGCAACAAAGGUUUCUUGGACUUUUCUCAAUAGUACAGUAAUUUAAAAAAGUUAUUCUUAAAUUACUGUAGUGGAAGAAGUUAUUACAAAUAUAGAGUAGUUUUUGCCACAUAGGAGAGAGGAGAGAGGGUGAAGGAAUAAAUUUUUUUUAAAAAGCCAACUCGUCUCUUCAAGGAAACUCGUCUCUUCAAGAGACGAGUUCCCAUUAAAAAAAUAUAUAUAUAUUUUUAAAAAAUUCACAAAUUAAAAAAAAAAAUUUGGAACUAAAGGGAACUCGUCUGAAGAGAUGAGUUCCCAUAGGAAAAAAAAUAUAUUAUUUAUUUAAAAAAAAAUCCCAAAAAAAAAACACAAUUCCAAAGGGAACUCGUCUCUUCAAGAGACGAGUUCCUUUAGGAAAAAAAAUAUUUUUUUUUUAAAUAUAUUUUUUAUUUUUAAAAAUCCUAAAUUAAAAAAAAAAAAAAAAAAAACAAUUCCAAAGGGAACUCGUCUCUUCAAGAGACGAGUUCCCAUGUAAAAAAAAAUAAAAAAAAUUCAGAGCUCCCUUUAGGAAAAAAAUAAUUUUUUAAAAAAAUAUAUUUUUUAUUUUAAAAAAUCCCAAUUUGGAAAAAAAAAAAAAAAAANNNNNNNNNNNNNNNNNNNNNNNNNNNNNNNNNNNNNNNNNNNNNNNNNNNNNNNNNNNNNNNNNNNNNNNNNNNNNNNNNNNNNNNNNNNNNNNNNNNNAUGUAAAAAAAAAUAAAAAAAAUUCAAAGGUCCCGUUAGGGAAAAAAAAAAUUUUUAAAAAAAAAUAUUUUUUUUUUUAAAAAAUCCCAAAUUUGGAAAAAAAAAAAAAAAAAAAAACCCAAUUCCCAAGGGAACUCGUUUUUUGAAGGGGGGAGUUCCCAUGUAAAAAAAAAUAUUUUUUUUUAAAAUAUAUAUAUAUAAAAAAAAAAACAAUUCCUUAAAAUUCCUAAAGGAACUCGUCUCUUCAAGAGACGAGUUCCCAAGUUCCAUGUAAAAAAAAUUUACUCAAGGGAACUCGUCUCUUCAAGAUACGAGUUCCCUUAGGAAAAAAAUAUUUUUUUAAAAAAAUAUAUUUUUUAUUUUAAAAAAUCCCAAAUUAAAAAAAAAAAAAAAAAAAAAAAAAAAAACACAAUUCCAAAGGGAACUCGUCUCUUGAAGAGACGAGUUCCCAUGUAAAAAAAAUAUAUAUAUUUUUUAAAUAUAUAUAUUAAAAAAAAAAAAAACAAUUCCUCAAAAUUCCUAAAGGGAACUCGUCUCUUGAAGAGACGAGUUCCCAUGUAAUAGAUGAGUCCCUUUAGGAAAAAAAAUAUUUUUUUAAAAAAAUAUAUUUUUUAUUUUAAAAAAUCCCAAAUUAAAAAAAAAAAAAAAAACAAUUCCAAAGGGAACUCGUCUCUUGAAGAGACGAGUUCCCAUGUAAAAAAAAAAAAAAAAAAAAUUUAAAUAUAUAUAUUAAAAAAAAAAAAAAACAAUUCCUCAAAGGGAACUCGUCUCUUUAAGAUGAAUUCCCAUGUAAAAACAAUUUUUUUUUAAAAAAAAAAUCAUCAAGGGAAGUCGUCUAUUCAAUAGACGAGUUCCUAUGGGAAAAAAAUAAGAGACAAGAAAAAAAAAUAUUUUUUUAAAAAAAAUAUUUUUUUUUUAAAAAAAAAAUUCCCAAAUAAAAGAAAAAAAAAAACAAUUCCUCAAGUCAACUUUUCUCUUCAUAUAUAUAUAUAUUUUAAAAUUCCCAAAUAAAAAAAAAGAAAAUAAAGGAAUUUUAAAAUAUAUAUAUAUAUAUAUUUUAAAAAAUUCCCAAAUUAAAAAAAAAAAAAAACAAAAGAAUUUCCUCAAGGGAAAAAAAAUAUAUUUUUUUUAAAAAAAUUUCCUGAAGGGAACUCGUCUCUUGAAAAAAAUUAGUUUUUUUAAAAAAAAUCUUCAAGGCAAUUCGUAGAGACGAGUUCCCGUGAAAAAAAAAAAAAAAAACUCUCAAAUUAAAAAUAUAUAUUUUCAAUGUCAUUAAAGCGGCUUUUUCUGCUUAAAAAUAAAAUUAUUUCAAAUAAAAAUUAGAUUUUUAGGACAUGAAAUUUUUCAAGGAAAAACAAAUAGAAUAAAUAUGAAAUAAAAGAUAAAAAACAAUUGGAAAGAUUUUUAGGUUAUUCAAAUUAUGUUUCUGAUUACUUUAAAGAUUUCAGAAUGAACCCUUCUUAUAUUACUUAGAAAAAUACACUUGCACACCUGCAUGGACUGAGCAUCAAAAGUCACAUCAAAAGUCAUGAAUAGUAGUGAAUAGUAGUAUUUGUCUACUUUCUACUGCUUUGCAACCAACGUGGAGGAUGGGAAAGUAACAAGUCUUUGACAAAGAAAAUAAAUUCUCCCUCUGCAAACUUCAGUACCCAGCUGUCUCUACACGUGAUGGAUUUGAAACUUUUUCAAGAUUGCAGAUUCAAUAGAAUUUCAAGUCCGAAUCCUCGCCUAUAAAUAGAGCCUCAACUUUCUUCGUAAACAGAGUCGGUAAGAGAGCUUCAAGAGCAGAAAAAGAGCAAAAAAAAUUUAGAGAGUGCAAAGUUUUGAGAGUUCAAAAAAUUUUCUCUUGUAAUUUUCUUUUUUCAAUCUGAGUCAUCCCUCCCUUUGCUGUAAACCAGCCCGUAGCCCGUAAUCAUCAACUCUCUAUAAGGUAUAUUUUCAAUAAACAAAUUUUUCAUAUUCAAAUAUUUGUGUUAUUGUGUUUAAAUUUUUGCAAUAAAUUAUACAGUAUUAUAAAUUAAAUAUUUCUGUUGUUUUUAUAGUUGAAGAUUAUUAGACAGAAUUAAUUAUUACGUGCAUGAAUUAAUUAUUGUUUACAUGAAUUAAUUUAAAUAAAUUUAGUAAUGGUGGUUAGUGUGAAAUUAUUAAAAAAUUAAUAUUAUUUUUAAAUUAUUGAAAUAAUUCUUGUAAGAUAUUGAUAGCUAAAAAUUAAAAAUAAAUAAAAGUAGAAAUAAAACUAAAUUAUUAUUUGAUUUAUUUAAAUGGAUAUUUUAAUGUAUAAUAUAUAUAUAUAUAUAUAUAUAUAUAUAUAUAUAUCAAAGAAAUUUUCUAUAAUAUAACAUAGUAACAGUGAGUAUUAAAUGUAUAUAUAAUAUAUAUAUUUAAAUAUUUAAAUAUUACAUAAAUUUAAAUAUCUAUUUUAACAAAGAAAAGAAAUAUAUAAUUGUAAAAUAUUAGAAUAUAUAAUAAAAUAAAAUAAAUAAAUUUAUUAAUGGUUAUUAGUGUUAAAUUAUUUUUUUUCAUAUAAUAUUAUUUAAAAAAUAUUAAAUUAAAAGAAAUUUAAGUAGAACAUUAUCGAAAUUAUGAAUUUAUCUUCUAUAUUUUAUGAAAAAUAAUAUUAGUGUUAAAUUAUUGAAAUAAUUCUUCUCAGAUAUUGAGACCAAAAUAUAAAAAAUAAAUAAAACUAAAAUAUUAUUUGAUUUAUUUAAAUGGAUAUUUUAAUGUAUAAUAUAUAUAUAUAUAUAUAUAUAUAUAUAUAUAAGUAAUUUUUUAUAAUAUAAAAUAGUAACAGUGAGUAUGAAAGGUAUAUAAUAUAUAUUUAAAUGUUAAAAUAUUAUAUACGUUUAAAUAUCCAUUUUUAAAAGAGAAAAGAAAUAUAUAAUUGUAAAAUGUUAGAAUAUUAAAAUAUUAAAAAAUAUUUGAAUGAUGCAGGAAAUACAUUUUCAUGGAUCCUGGACCAGUAGAUAGUUCAGUUCUAUAUAACCAGGAAAUACACCGAUCUUCACUUAUAUGGGAAGGAAAUGAUCCCGGAGAACUCCAUUGUCGACGUCGUGAAGCCAGUUUUUUUCGUAAUAGUGUUUUGGAUGCACGUAUCAUUCCAUAUUUGCAACAAUCUGGAUUCUACGGUGUUGCUCGAUUAGGUUUUAUUUCAUUGGAUUGGCAUCUUAUUAUAGCAUUCAUAGAGAGAUGGCGUCCUGAGACCCACACUUUCCAUGUACCUUAGGGAGAGUGUACCAUCACACUUCAAGAUGUUAGCAUUAUUUUAGGCUUACCGAUUGAUGGUGUUGCAGUUACCGGUACCACGUGCUUAGAUUGGAGAGAGGUGUGUGCCACACUAUUAGGAGUGGUGCCUGGAGAUAGAGAUAUAUCUGGACAAAGACUUCGUUUGAUGUGGUUGACAGAACAUUUUCCUUCAUUGCCACCUGAUGCUGAUGUGGAGUCCGUGAGAUGCUAUGCUAGGGCAUUCAUCUUACAGUUGAUUGGAGGUUUUCUUUUUGCGGAUAAAUCAAACAAUAGAGUACACUUAAUGUUUUUACCACUACUUCAGGAUUUUGGAGUUAUUGGUACUUACAGUUGGGGUAGUGCUUGCCUAGCUUGGCUAUAUUGAGAGAUGUGUCGAGCAUCCCGUAUUGAUGUACAUGAUGUAUCAGGUCCUCUGAUUUUGUUGCAGUUAUGGAUAUGGGAUAGAUUUCCUUUUAUGUCACCUAUGCGCUUACAUCCGACACCACAUGAUGAAGUACAACCACAACCACCCUUAGGCAUGCGGUAUGUAUUCAACCAUAGUUAUAGCAUAUGUAAACACAUAUAUGCAUAAAUAAACAAUUACUAAAACCUUUAAUAUAUAUUCUUUUUGUAGUUGGAGAGAUGAAUUCCGUACUACUUCGACGCCUAUGCAUGUGCUAUCCCAGUAUAGAUAUCUACUUGAUCGACUUAUGCCAGAGCAGGUGAUAAAUUCAUUAUUUUGAAUAAAUUUUUUUAAAUGAUUUAUAAUGAAAUUAUUAUUAAAUAAUGUGAGUUAUAUUUCAAAUUUAAUUGCAGAUUAUAUGGGAGCCAUAUACUGAUGAUGUCAUCUCUGCACUCCCAGAUUACUGUACUAUUGCCUCUGACUUGUGGUUGACUAUUUCACCCCUUAUCUGUUUCCACAUAGUGGAGUGGCAUAGACCUGAUCGUGUUUUGCGGCAAUUUGGGCUAGUACAACAUAUUCCCGAGCAAUGCGAUACAGAAUUGGGCUUACAUAGAUAUGAUUUGAGGGGUCGACAUGAUUUUGAUUGGAUGAGUAUUCAUCACCACUAUAUUCAAAGGUGGGAGGCUAGGUACGAUCAUCUUGCUAGAGCUGAGGCAGCAUAUACUUCGUACGGGUAUAACCACCCAUAUAUGGUGUGGUAUCGUUCGAUCACUCGCCUUUUUUUUACUCCACAUGGAUCUUCGUGGGAGAUAGUGGUAAUUACAAUGUCUUUUUAUUUAUUACUAUAUUUUCUUCUUAUUACAAAAACAUCUAACUUUUUAUUCUUAAUUCUUACAGAACCGCAGUUUGCAACAAAUACAUUUAUGGACUUCUCCAGCUACACCGAAUAUCGGUCAUCGUGAUGCAAUUCAUCAAUUAUGUGCAACCACUUUAGAGGCUAUACACGAGGCUGAUCGGUUAGUUAUUCCCCCUAAUGUUGUUGAUACGGAGAGACAAUCAUCGGAUGAGGAGGUUAGGAUAAGAGAUGGUGGGAUGCGGACUAGGGGUGGUAGGGUGCGGACUAGAGGUGGUGGAGUACAUCCUACAGGUGGAGGUGUUUGCACUAGAGGCGGAGGUGUACGAACACGUGGAGGCCAUAUUUCUGAUGAUCCACACUUCCAUAGCGAUGAUGUAGCUAUACAUUUUCCACCAUCAGCUCUACAACAUUCUUCCUUCAAUUUUUCUACACCACUUGACCAGUCACUGCCUUAUUCAUCAGUUCCAUUCAUUGCUGAGGGGGUGAUACAGGAAGAUGUUGGGACAUCAUUCAUGCAGGAGAUAUUGCAUUCUUAUAUUGAUGGGUCUUCUUUUCAUAUACCUAUGUCGUCUAGUAUCGAUGUAUCAUUUACUCCACCUACAGCACCACUCAUUGCUUUGUCACCACAGUCAUUAGGACAUCCAUUUAGAGAUGAUGUGGCGACACAAAUGCAAUACUUUUCAUCACCACUUGUUGAACAACAGCUAGAGGCACAAGUGCAAGAUGAAGGACGUGGACGAGGAAGAGGUCGAGGACGAGGACGGGGACGAAGACGAGGAAAUGAAGCAACAUUAGAUGUUCCCUCAGAUCAAUCCAAGUUGGAAAGAUGUCACCAACGGCCACAACGAAGAAGGAAACCUCCUUCAUGUGGCACACAUUGAUGACUUUUAUAUCUUGUAUGGUACAUUUUUUUUUUAUUCUUCGUUUAUUUGUAUUAAUGAUGAAUACUAACUUUUAUUGGUUCCUAGUUCAUUCUUCGUUUUUUUUUUUUUUUAAUUUGGGACUUUUUAAAAAAAAUUAUUUUUUUUUAAUGGGAAAUCGUCUCUUUUGGAAAUUUUUUUUUUAAUAAUUUCGGAUUUUUUUUUUAAAUAUAUUAAUUUUUUUUAAUGGGAACUCGUCUCUUGAAGAGACGAGUUACUUGAGGAUUUUUUUUUUUUUGGAUUUUUUUUAAAAAAAAUUUAAUUUUUUUUUUAUUUUUCAUGGGAACUCGUCUCUUGAAGGAAAUUUUUUUUUUUUAAUUUGAGAUUUUUUAAUUUAAGGAUUUUAAAAAAUAUAUUUUUUUUCCUAAAGGGAACUUGUCUCUUGAAGAGACGAGUUCCCUUUAGGAAUUUUUUUUUUAAAAUAUAUAUAUUUUUAAAAAAAAAAUAUUUUUUUUUACAUGGGAACUCGUCUCUUCAAGAGACGAGUUCCCUUUAGGAAUUUUGAGGAAUUGGUUUUUUUUAUUUUUUUUAAAUAUAUAUUUUUUUACAUGGGAACUCGUCUCUUCAAGAGACGAGUUCCCUUUGGAAUUGUUUUUUUUUUUUUUUUUAAAUUUGGGAUUUUUUUUAAAAAAUAUUUUUUUUCCUGAAGGGAACUCGUCUCUUGAAUUUUUUUUUUUAUAUAUAUAUAUAUUUUUUUUAAAAAAAUAUUUUUUUUACAUGGGAACUCGUCUCUUGAAGAGACGAGUUCCCUUUAGGAAUUUUGAGGAAUUGUUUUUUUUUUUUUUUAAUAUAUAUUUAAAAAAAUAUUUUUUUUUUACAUGGGAACUCGUCUCUUCAAGAAGAGACGAGUUCCCUUUGGAAUUGUGUUUUUUUUUUAUUUUUAAUUUGGGAUUUUUUAAAAUAAAAAAUAUAUUUUUUGAACUUGUCUCUUGAAUUUUUUAAAAAAAAAUAAAUAUUUUAAAAAAAAAUAUUUUUUUUACAGGGGAACCCCUCCCUGGGAGAGACAAUUUCCCCUUAAAAAUUUUGAGGAAGGGUUUUUUUUUUUUUUUUUCCCUCAAAAAAAGUUAAAAAAUAAAUAUAUUUUUUUUACCGGGGAACUGGCCUCUCCAAAAAAGAAGUCCCCCCUUGAAAUGGAGUUUUUUUUUUUUUUAAAUUCGGGAUUUUUCUAAAAAAAAAAAUAUUUUUUUUCAAAAANNNNNNNNNNNNNNNNNNNNNNNNNNNNNNNNNNNNNNNNNNNNNNNNNNNNNNNNNNNNNNNNNNNNNNNNNNNNNNNNNNNNNNNNNNNNNNNNNNNNUUUUUUUUUUUUUUUUAAAAUUGGGAAUUUUUUUUAAAAAAAAUUUUUUUCCAAAAGGGGAAACAUUUUUUGAAAUUUUUUUUUUUAAAAAAAAAUAAAUUUUUUUAAAAAAAAUUUUUUUUUUCAAGGGGAAUUGUUUUUUGAAAAGGAGGGGUUCCCUUUGGGAUUUUGGGGGAAUGGUUUUUUUUUUUUUUUAAAUAUUUUUAAAAAAAAUUUUUUUUUUUACAAGGGGAAUUGUUUUUUUAAGAAGGGACGGGUUUCCUUUGGAAAUGUGUUUUUUUUUUUUUUUUAAUUUGGGAUUUUUUUAAAUAAAAAAUAUAUUUUUUGAACUUGUUUUAUGAAUUUUUUAUAUAUAUAUAUAUAUUUUAAAAAAAAAUAUUUUUUUUACCUGGGAACUUGUUUUUUGAAGAGACGAGUUCCCCUUUGGAAUUUUGGGGAAAUGUUUUUUUUUUUUUUUUUUCUUUAAUAUAUAUUUAAAAAUAUAUAUAUUUUUUUUACAUGGGAACUUGUCUCUUCAAGAGACGAGUUCCCUUUGGAAUUGUGUUUUUUUUUUUUUUUAAUUUGGGAUUUUUUAAAAUAAAAAAUAUAUUUUUUUAAAAAAAUAUUUUUUUUGAACUCGUCUCUUGAAAUUUUUUUUUAUAUAUAUAUAUUUUUUAAAAAAAAAUAUUUUUUUUUACAUGGGAACUCGUCUCUUGAAGAGACGAGUUCCCUUUAGGAAUUUUGAGGAAUUGUUUUUUUUUUUUUUUUUUUUUAAUAUAUAUUUAAAAAAAUAUUUUUUUUUUACAUGGGAACUCGUCUCUUCAAGAGACGAGUUCCCUUUGGAAUUGUUUUUUUUUUUUUUUUUUUUUAAUUCGGGAUUUUUUAAAAAAAAAAAUAUAUAUUUUAAAAAAAAUAUUUUUUUUCCUAAAGGGAACCCGUCUUUUGAAAUUUUAAAAAUAAAAAAAUUUUUUUUUUUUUAAAUUUUUUUUUUUUUAACAGGGGAACCCUCCCCUUCAAAAAACGAGUUCCUUUAGGAAUUUUGAGGAAUUGUUUUUUUUUUNNNNNNNNNNNNNNNNNNNNNNNNNNNNNNNNNNNNNNNNNNNNNNNNNNNNNNNNNNNNNNNNNNNNNNNNNNNNNNNNNNNNNNNNNNNNNNNNNNNNACGGGUUCCCCUUAGCAAUGUUUUUUUUUUUUUUUUAAUUUGGGCUCCCUCAAAAUAAAAAAUAUAUUUUUUUUAAAAAAUAUUUUUUUUCCUAAAGGGAACUUGUCUCUUGAAAUUUUUUUUUUAUAUAUAUAUAUUUUUAAAAAAAAUAUAUAUUUUUUUACAUGGGAACUCGUCUCUUGAAGAGACGAGUUCCCUUUAGGAAUUUUGAGGAAUUGUGUUUUUUUUUUUUAAUAUAUAUUUAAAAUUUUUUUUUUUUUUUUACAUGGGAACUCGUCUCUUCAAGAGACGAGUUCCCUUUGGAAUUGUUUUUUUUUUUUUUUAUUAUUUAAUUUGGGAUUUUUUAAAAUAAAAAAUAUAUUUUUAAAAAAAAAUAUUUUUUUUCCUAAAGGGAACUCGUCUCUUCAAGAGACGAGUUCUUUCCAGAGACAUCUUAAAAAAAACUUUAAUUUAAAUAAUUGAAUUUUCAACUAGAACUUACAAUAUCUUAAAAAAAAACUUUAAUUUAAAUAAUUAAAUUUUCAACUAGAACUUACAAUAUCAUUGAGCGGUUGUGUUAGAAGACUCCCCUCUGUUAGGACAUUUUCGCCGAUUGUGACCCUCUUGUUUACAAAGCCCACAUCGCAAUUUAACACUUGGUUCUCUCCAAUCCAUUUCAUUCCUAAACCUUGAAGAUCUUGGUCUUCCUUUAUCACGUACUAGAGUUGGAUUAGGAUGAACAAUUGGAAAAUUAGGCUCUGGCCAAUAUGCUUGAUGUGGAAUUGGAUUGAAUUGAGGUGUAUAGCAACAAGCAUAUACAUCCAUCCUAUAAUGUUUGUCAACAAAUUGCCAACUAUCAAUCCUUGCACGUGCACAUACAGCCAACACAUGUGAACAUGGUAUACCAAAUGAUUGCCAUUUAUUACAAGUACAUGUUCUUUCUUUCAACUUCACAAUUUGUAUAUUGUUUCCUUUAUCCAUAUGAAACCCAUGGGGAGCAGUUGUAACUUCAAAUAUCUCAUUUGAACGGUGAAAAAUAUUGGCAGUGUGUCCACUAGCCCUUGAUUGAUAUUUUGUUAUUUUGUUAAUGACAUAGGAAGUAUACAAAUCUCCAUUUGCCAUUUGAGUUUGUAUCUCUGUUCGACGAGUCUCGAAAUAUGAAACACAACGAUAGAAAGUUAAUCGAACAAGAGCAGUGAUAGGCAACAUUCUAGCCCCUUUGAGCACUCCAUUUAUGCAUUCAGCAAUAUUUGUAGUCAUCCACCCAUACCGAUGUCCUCCAUCAUGUGCCAAAGUCCAUUUCUUUGUGUCCAACCUGUUAAACCAUUCUAAGCAUUUCUCAUCUAAUUGUUUUAACUCAGUCAUACAUGCCUCAUACUUUCGUGGUUGAUGUUGAGACCCUGCUCUAUACACUAAGUCUUUUAACAUCUUAUUUCUAUAUUUAUCAUUGAAAUUGCUUGCCACAUGCCUAAGACAAUAUCGAUGGUGUGCAUAAGGCGGGCUCCAACCAACACUAGGAUCCCUAAUGGCGGCUUGUAUUCCUGCAUGACGAUCUGAAAUAAGACAUAUGCCUUCUCUUUGUGUGACUUGAGUCCUUAAUAUAUAAAGAAACCAAGACCAACUAUCUGAUGAUUCCUCUUCAACUAUUGCAAAUGCUAGAGGGAAGAUAUGACCAUUAGCAUCGAUUGAUGUUGCAAUCAAAAGUUUCCCUAUGUAUUUUCCAUAUAAAAAAGUACCAUCUAUUUGUAUUAUUGGUCUACAAUGCUUAAAUCCUUCAACACAUGCCCCAAAAGCCCAGAACACACGCAUAAAACGUACAUUUCCAUUGCAACCUGCUAGUAAUGAUGUCUUCCAAACAACCUUAGUCCCAGGGUUAGUAAGUUUAAUAAUAUUCAUCCACCUAGGUAAAGUUUGGUAAGAUUCAUCCCAAUCACCAAAUAUCCUUAUCAUUGCUUUCCUCUUUGCUUCCCAAAUCCUCUUGUAAUGAACAUUAUAACCAAAUUUAUCUUUCACUAUUUGAUGUAACGCAGCAAUUGAAAUUGUGUGAUCACUUUGGACUACAUUUUGAACUUCUCGUGCAAUGAAGGUUGAGUCUAAUUGUGAGUGGUCUUGUGAUAGUUUAGGGUAAACACAAGUGUGAGGACCUAUGUACUUUGUUAUCUCAAACAAACCAUGACAUUUACGACGACAUGCACGAAACCUCCAAUUACAACCCUCAGACCAUUUUUUACACUUUACAACCCAAAAAUCUGGCUCAGAUUCAAUAACAAUCAAAUGUUGAUUCCUACAUAUAGAAUAACGUUUAACAGCAUAUUGUAAGUCUACCUUACUUUCAAACCGCAAACCCUUAAACAAUUCAUCUGAUUCAUUCCAUAAGCCAGUGCGUGCUAUUAAAUCCUUGUCAGUGAUGGAGUUAAUUACAUCCCAAUUCAAUUCUCUAAAUAUUGGGGAAGGGACAUCAUGUUCACCACCACCUAGCAAUGAUGCAUCAUUUUCUGUAUUUUCAUUAUCCUCCAUGUCCAUAAUAUCCUCAUUACCAUCAUCUUCAUCAAAUAACUCUACAUUGUCAUCAUCAAUUCCAGGUAAAAUAUCAACAUAAUUUCCAACUGUCAUUACAAUUGACUCAGUAACCCCUGCCAUAUCUACCCUAACUGUAGGUUCCAUAUCAUUAUCAUAACUUUGCAUAUACUUAGGGGAAGAUGUGUUAUUUUCUACCAUAUGUUGACUUGGACCUAGGCUUUCAAUAUGCAAUGGGGUAGUAAAGCUACUAGGCACAGGGUGAUAAUCAAUGGAAGAAGUUUGACAAUACAUUUCAAUAGUAUUUGGAGGAGGAGAUUGUGCGACAACGGUGAACAUUAUCCUUACAUCACCAUCAUCUCGAAUAGGCAAAGGGACAUAAUUAACAGUACCAUUUCCAUUUGGAAAGGGAACUGGAUAUCAAAACACCAUAUUUAACUUGGUAUAAGUACGAUUAAUAUUCAGAGCAUGACACAAUUUUGUUUCUAACUCAUCAAAUGUUAUCAUACUAUUGAUUAAAACACCUUUAUCAGGAGGACGAUUAUAACUUACCCCAAAUUCACAAUCAAUAAUUUCACUCCUGGUAUAGCACAACACCGUGGUGUAACCGUCCAUUAUAAAACCUAUUCAAAAGAUCAACAAAAAAUAUCAUCAUCAAUAAACUUUAUGAUAAUAACAAUAUAUAUUUUGCAAAUCUAUUUUACUAAUAUUACGUCCAUUACAAUAUAUUUCUUUUCUUUUUAAAAAGGGAUAUUUAAAUGUAUAUAAUAUAACAUUUUAAAUGUCCAUUUACAUAUUUAAGAUAAGAUCAACUCUCGGAUAAUGUUCUACUUAUAUUUCUUAUAUUUUUAUAUUUUUUUAAUUAAUAUUAUAUGCAAAAAAAUAAUUUAAUACUAACAACCAUUACUAAAUUUAUUUAUUUUCUUUUAUUAUAUAUUCUAACAUUUUACAAUUAUCUAUUUCUUUUCUUUUUUAAAAUAGAUAUGAAAUGUAUAUAAUAUUUGAAUAUUUAAAUAUAUAUAAUUGACUAUUUUAUAUUAUACACAAUUAUUUUAUACAUAUAUAUUAUAUUAAAAUAUCCAAUUAAAUAAAUCAAAUAAUAUUUUAAAUUUAAAUAUACUUUAAUUUAUUUUUAAUUUUUAGCUCUCAAUUUCUUACAAGAAUUUUUUCAAUAAUUUAAAACUAAUGUUAAUUUUUAUAAACUAUAGAAUACAAACUCAAAAUUUCGAAUAAUGUUAUACUUAUAUUUCUUAUAUUUUAAUAUAUAUACAUAUAUAUAAUGUAUGCAAAAAAAUAAUUUCAAAAUAAUUUCACACUAAUAAUAUUAUAUAUUAUAACAUUUUACAAUUAUAUAUUUCUUUUCUUUGUUAAAAUGGACAUUUAAAUGUAUAUAAUAUUUUAAUAUUUAAAUAUAUAUUAUAUACCUUUAAUACUCACUGUUACUAUGUUAUAUUAUAGAAAAUUACUCCUAUAUAUAUUAUACAUUAAAUAGCCAUUUAAAUAAAUCAAAUAAUAUUUUAGUUUUAUUUCUACUUUUAUUUAUUUUUAUUUUUUAGCUCUCAAUAUCUUACAAGAAUUAUUUCAAUAAUUUAAGACUAAUAUUAAUUUUUUUAUAAUAUAGAAGAUAAAUUCAUAAUUUCAGAUAAUGUUAUACUUAAAUUUCUUAUAUUUUAAUAUUUUUUAAAUAAUAUUAAAUGCAAAAAAAUAAUUUAACACUAACCACCAUUACUAAAUUUAUUUAUUUAUUUUAUUUUAUUAUAUAUUCUAACAUUGUACAAUUAUUAUAUGUUUCUUAUCUUUUCUUUUUUAAAAUGGAUAUUUAAAUGUAUUACACAAUAAAUAUGAAAUAAAGGAAAAAAUAUUACCUAUCAAUAAAAACAAACUGAUAUAAUAAUAAAAAGGCAAAAAUAUUACCUACCAAUAAAAACUGAUAUAAUAAUAAAAACUAUAUAUCAUAAAAUAAAAUAAAGCAAAAAUAUUACCUUAGAAGAUAUGCUCAAAUUCUACCAAAGGUGAAAAACUGAGAAGUGAAAAUUUCAGUUUGAAGUGGGAAGAGUGGGAAAAUGUAAGUGAAGAAGUUUAAAGUGGGAAGAAUGGGAAAAUGUAAGUGAAGACGUUUGAAGGUGAAAAUGAGAAUGAAGAAGGUAAUUUAUAGUGUUUGAGAAGUUGUAAAAAGGUACCAUGAGUGGUUAAAAUUUGAGUUUAAAAUGGAAUUGGUAGAGUGUAACGGUAUGAUACCAACGUUCUUCUUCGAAAUAGCUAGCCCGAAAUAGCAAACGGGCUAGCUAUGAUAGCAAACGGGCUAGCUAUGAUAGCAAACGGGUUAGCUAUGAUAGCAAAUGGCUUACCUAUUAUAGCAAACAGUGUUGUUCAAAAUAGCAAACGGUAUUGUUCAUAGCAAACGACUUAGCUAUGAAGAGACGAUUUCCUUUUUGGAUUUUUUUUUUUAUAAUUUGGGAUUUUUUUUAAUGAAGAGACGAUUUCCAUUUUGAAAUAUUUUUUUUUUUAUAAUUUGGGAUUUUAAAAAACAAAUUUAAAAAUAUUAAUUUUUUUUUAAAGAGACUAUUUUCCCUUUGAAUUUUUUUUUUUUAAUAUUUGGGAUUUUUUAAUCUUGAAGAGACGAGUUCCUUUUUAGGAAUUUUGAGGAAUUGUUUUUUUUUUUUUUUUAAUAUAUAUAUUUUAAAAAAUAUAUAUAUUUUUUUACAUGGGAACUCGUCUCUUGAAGAGACGAGUUCCCUUUGGAAUUGUGUUUUUUUUUUUUUUUUAAUUUGGGAUUUUUUAAAAUAAAAAAUAUAUUUUUUAAAAUAAAAAAUAUAUUUUUUAAAAAAUAUUUUUUUUUCCUAAAGGGAACUCGUCUCUUGAAAUUUUUUUUUUAAAUAUAUAUAUAUUUUUUUUAACAUGGUAACUCGUCUCUUAGGAAUUUUGAGGAAUUGUUUUUUUUUUUAUUUUUUAUAAUAUAUAUAUUUUAAAAAAAAUAUUUUUUUUUUACAUGGGAACUCGUCUCUUGAAGAGACGAGUUCCCUUUGGAAUUGUGUGUUUUGUUUUUUUUUUUUUUUUUUUUUUUUUUUUUUUUUUAAAAUUUGGGAUUUUUUAAAAAAAAAAAUAUUUUUUUAAAAAAAAAUUUUUUUUUCCCAAGGAACUCGUCUUUUGAAAAAACGAGUUCCUUUAGGAUUUUUUUUUUUUGGGAUUUUUUUUAAAAAAAAAAAAUUUUUUUAAAAAAAAAAUAUUUUUUUUUUCCCAUGGGAACCCCUUUUUUCAAAAAAGUUCCCUUUUUUUCCAAAUUUUUUUUUUUUUUUUUAAUUUGGGAAUUUUUUAAAAAAAUAUUUAUUUUUUUUAAUUGGGAACCCCUUCUUUCAAAAAAAGAGUUCCUUUUUUUAAAAAAUUUUACCGUUUAACCCUUUUUCCUUUNNNNNNNNNNNNNNNNNNNNNNNNNNNNNNNNNNNNNNNNNNNNNNNNNNNNNNNNNNNNNNNNNNNNNNNNNNNNNNNNNNNNNNNNNNNNNNNNNNNNUUAAAUUACUGUAGUGGAAGAAGUUAUUCCAAAUAUAGAGUAGUUUUUGCCACAUAGGAGAGAGGAGAGAGGGUGAAGGAAUAAAUUUUUUUUAAAAAGCCAACUCGUCUCUUCAAGGAAACUCGUCUCUUCAAGUGUGAAUUUUUUAAAAAUAUAUAUAUAUUUUUUAAUUGGGAACUCGUCUCUUCAAGAGACGAGUUCGCUUUUUUAAAAAAUUUUACCCGUUCACCCUCUCUCCUCUCUCCUCUCUCUCACCCUCUCUCCCACCCUCUCUCCUCUCUCCUCUCUCCUCUCUCCUCUCUCCUAUGUGGCAAAAACUACCCUAUAUUUGUAAUAACUUCUUCCACUACAGUAAUUUAAGAAUAACUUUUUUAAAUUACUGCACUAUUGAGAAAAGUCCAAGGUUUCCUUCUCUAUGUCUUUGUUCUUCAAGUAGAAAAACUUGAAUCAGGGAAGGGACCCCUAUCACAAGCACCAUUAUCAGUUAGAUAUUUGAGGCGUCAAGUUUAUGACUUCAGCUUUCUUGAAUGCAGAAAUGAAGAAUUCACUGCGGAUGUCUUCUCCAAAGCUGUCGUGUGAGUGUUUUUAUUUUUUUAUUUUUUUUCAACCAGUUGAAAUCAAUUCACUGAACACUAACACUAAGCUGCCAUGAACAGUUGUACUAAAACUAAGUAUCUCUUGUAGCUAAACUGCUACCAUUUUUCAUUUAUGUUUCUUUAAAUUCAUUUAACUUAUUUUGUUACUUUAUAUAAAGAUUAAAAGUGCAUUUAACAGUGGUUAUGAAAAGUGUUUAGCAUUUUUAAUACUUAAAAAAUAAAAAAUUUUAAGUAUUAAAAAUGUUAAAAACACUUUUUAGAAUCACGGUCAAAUACACUCUAAAUUUAAUUACACUUUAUUUUCUUUCAUAUAUAUUUAUAAUGAAACAAAUAUGAGAAAAAAAAAACAUUUUUCUUGACAGUUUUUUUCUUUCUUUGGUAUUUUUCCCAAAUCAAACAUAAGAAUAUAUUUUUUUAUAACUUUUAUUCGGUUGGUUUAUGAAAUAUUUUACCUGAAUGAUUGAAUCUGAAAUAUUCUACAGGCCAGAGUAGAUUUUGGAAGGCUAAUGGAGUAACCCUUUAGAUUUGGCUGGGUUGAUCUGCUGCAAAUGCAUUUUGAAAAUCCAAGGCAAUAACCUUCACUAAAUGGUUGCAAAAGGAGGAAAAAACUUAGGGCAAAAGUAGAGCUACUCAAUUGAGAUUAUGAGAUAUGGCUGUCAAUUUGCUUUACAGAAAAAUAAAAGAAAUUUACAUUGUUUUCACUACAAAAGAAAACACGCUUCUCAUAAUCCAAAAUUGCUGGUAUUGGUUUUUUUUGGUCAAUGGUGUUAGAGAUUUGGUAUAUCCUUGAGGCUGGUACUGUUGAGAUUUUCCUUCUUCCUCAUGAGCAACUCAAGCUACGAGUUAGAUUGAUGAAGGCUUCUUCUCUGCAUGGUACCUUGCAUUGUUAUAUAACUAUGGUCGAGCAUGUAGCAUUUUUAGUCUCUCAAAAACAAUUCAUUAGUUGAAAUAAACAAGAAAGACAGGGUCAUGUAACUUCUUUCAUUUUCUCAUGAAGUGUAACCAAGGAUUCAAUUUUUUUUUAUAAAAUAUCGUCGAUAUAUCAAAUAUUGGUGGUGUCGUGAGAAUUUUGGCCAAAAUAUCUUAAAACAUCUUGGAGGUGGAGCGAUGCAUCGGCCAUUUUUUGAGAAAAAUAGGGAAUAUUUCGAGAAAAAUGGGAGAUUUUGUUGAAAGUUUUUUUAAAAAAAUAUUUAAGUUUUUUUUAAUUAUUCAUUUUUAAUUUAUUUAUUUUUAUCUUAAAUCUAUAUUAUCAUUUUAUUUUUUAUAUUUAUCUCAUUAAUGUUAUUUUUAAAAAUUACUAUCACUUCAUUAUUAAUUUUUUAUCCGUUUAAUUUUAUUUAAUUUUAAAAUAUUAAAAAGAUCAUUUCACUCAAAAAUUGCUAUAAUAUAAAAAAAAUAAUGGAGUCCUAAUAUUUAUAAAUUAAAAUUGAUUUGAUAAGACAAAUUAUUAAUAAUUUUAAUUAUUUAAAUAAAUUAAUGUUAAUAGAAAAAUUAUCACCAUAUAUUUGUAAUAAAUUUUUAGAAAUUAAAUCGUAAAUAAAAUAUUUUAUGUAAAUCAAUUUAAUUUUAUUUCAAAUGUAAUAAAACAUGUUUUAAUAAAAGUAUUUUUAAAAUUUUAAAGUAAAUGAAUAUAAAUAUAUUAAAGGAAUUUAAGCUAAUUUUUUUAUAAAAUUUUAUCUUUAAUUGUAUUUAUAUCAAUUAUACUUAUAAAAUAACUUUAAUAUAUAUAUAUAUAUAUAUAUAUAUAUAUAUAUAUUCUUAUUUUAUCAUUUUUUUUAGAGUUUUUUCAAGCAUUCUCAUCAAUUUUGAAUCAUUUUCCUCAUCAAUAUUUUUGUCAAAAUAUCCAUUAAUAUUUCUCCAAUAUUUAUGAUAUAUCCAAUAAAAUCCAAGUAUUGGAUUCCUUCUUUAUAAAUGAAAAAAUAUGCCUUAAUCCAUGUAUGCAUUCUUACAACAAAAAAGAUAUAUGUACCUUUUAACCUAGUCUUCUUUUUCCCUUAUUUUUUCCCUUUUUGUGUAGCUAAUCGAAUUCUUUGUUUUUCUUGGAUUGAAAAAGCUCUCAAGUCUCAACCUCGGUGACGGAUGCUUACAAUCCCUUUAUAAAGGGCAAAACUUUAAGUGGGAAGUUGCUUACUCAGCAAAACAAUUAAUCUUGGUUUUACAACAGAAAAUUGUUUUAAUAAUUUUUUUUUAUACUAAGCCUGUGCCUGGCCCUAGCCUAAACUUAAUCCAAAGCUUUAAAUUUCAUAUUUCUUUUUUCCUAAACAUUCUAAUCUUUCUAAGAAAUCUUUCUAUGAGUAGUUGUUGAUUAAAGGCAUAUUCGUGGUACUCCAUCUAUACGCAUUGUACCUCAUUUACCCUUCCAAAAUGCUUUACGGUUUGACUUAUCAUUGUUACAACACACCUACAAUCAUUUUAUAGAGGAGUUACAAUAUGCGCCAUAUCCGUAAGCUUUCUUCCAUAGUUGCCUACGGAAGUCUUCACAACUAUAGAAAAACUUUUGUAUAUGAGUCAUCAUAAACAACAUUUCCACUUUUUCUCAUCGAGUUCCCUCACUUGGAUUAUAUAGGGGAGUAGGAAGCUUUUGGAAACUCUUGGAAUCAUCUAUACUAGUAAGAGACUUAGAGAUGUCCACACAUGUUACCUACUGUUCUCUUAACUUCUAAGUUGUGUGUCUAACUAAAUCUAACUAACAAAAUGCAAGGGGAAGGCUAACUUAGCAACAUCAAACAUGUUUAUCUGUAAGUGUCACAUGUGAGCUUAAGAAAAACUUAAGUUCGUGACACAUGGCUCAUGCACCAAGCCUCAUGCCUAAUAAGCAUCUACUUUUAGAUGAAUGGAAGAGGCUUAUAAAACUCUUAACAUCUCCUUUCAUUUUUUAUGUAGGAUCAAUAUAGUGUGUGAUUUAAAGAAAAUAUCGGCUUUAAAGUUGCAAGAGGAGGAAAGUUCAUAGUAAAAUAGUUGCACUACUCUAUUACUCCUUUGUUUGUAUUAAAAGUUAAUUAGGAUGUGUAUGUUAAUUAGGAUCAACAUUUGUCUUCUUAAUUUAUUGUAAUCUUCAUCAAGUUUUUGAUACAGAAUAAAUUGAGUUUUGUCUCAUAAUCAGCAAAUUGAAUCUGUGCAUGUCUUCUACUAAACAAUCAUUUUUUAUCUCAUUUCCACCACUCACUGAAUCUGCAUCAGAAUCAUAUUCUCCAUCAUCUACCACACAUACAUUUUCUCUCUCAUAUUCUACACAUAUUGAAUCUGUGUCAUCAUCAUGUCCAAAAUCUUAUUCUGUCUCAAUUUCGCAUCAUAUCAUAUUCUGAAGUAGUGUCAUUUCCACCAACUGAUAUUAACCAAUACCAUAAAAUGAAUAUUUAUGAUUAAUACGGUAGAAAACCCUAGUUAAUUUCUUGCCCGGUAUAUUUCUGUGGAUCCCUUUUUUGGUUCUCUUUCUCUCCGGCUUUUACAUGGUUCUCGGUAAGAUUGAGAACCAAAUAUUCAUAAGUAACCUAGUCAUUUUUAGUUAGUAAGCAAUCUUGAUGUAAAUGAGUUUUCAUUUCCAUCCUCUUUAUUAGGGUUCCAAACAUUAUCCCAAAAAAAAAAAAAAUAUCUUAAAUCAUUUUCCUUAUUCUCCUUAUUGCACAUUUUGUCUUAUAAUACUUGACUGUCUAGUUUUAAAGGGCUUGGAAGAUGAUUAGUUUCCAAAUGCUUGCAGAUUCCAGGAACUUAAAGUUACAAUUAAGUGAAACAAGCACUUGAAAGAGGAGAAUGCCUUUCAGAUUCAGAGAACAUAAGCGGGCAUGCAGAAGAAGUGGAAGGGAAGAUGCAGACCAAUAGAGGAAAGAAGGAAAAACAAGCUAAAUAUUCCUGCAGUUGAGCUGCUUAUUGAAACAGAGUAGAACAAAUUAAGGUUGAUAACAUCAUGACUGGGUGCUUGUGGAAUCGUCUUCUGGAUGCCAGAACCUGUUGAAAAACCAUAAGGAAUCAGCUUUCACGGCAUAUCCAUCUUGGUUGCGGUGC
rnacentral:lncRNA from 1 species